rnacentral:rRNA from 1 species
AACGGCUACCACAUCCAAGGAAGGCAGCAGGCGCGCAAAUUACCCAAUUCCGAUACGGAGAGGUAGUGACAAUAAAUACUGAUACAGGGCUCUUUUGGGUCUUGUAAUUGGAAUGAGUACAAUUUAAACCUCUUAACGAGGAACAAUUGGAGGGCAAGUCUGGUGCCAGCAGCCGCGGUAAUUCCAGCUCCAAUAGCGUAUAUUAAAGUUGUUGCAGUUAAAAAGCUCGUAGUUGAACCUUUGGCCUGGCUGGCAGGUCCGCCUCACCGCGUGCACUUGUCCGGCCGGGCCUUUUCUUCUGGAGAACCGCAUGCCCUUCACUGGGUGUGUUGGGGACCAGGACUUUUACUUUGAAAAAAUUAGAGUGUUCAAAGCAGGCCUUUGCUCGAAUACGUUAGCAUGGAAUAAUAGAAUAGGACGUGCGGUCCUAUUUUGUUGGUUUCUAGGACCGCCGUAAUGAUUAAUAGGGACAGUCGGGGGCAUCAGUAUUCAAUUGUCAGAGGUGAAAUUCUUGGAUUUAUUGAAGACUAACUACUGCGAAAGCAUUUGCCAAGGAUGUUUUCAUUAAUCAGUGAACGAAAGUUAGGGGAUCGAAGACGAUCAGAUACCGUCGUAGUCUUAACCAUAAACUAUGCCGACUAGGGAUCGGGCGGUGUUUCUAUUGUGACCCGCUCGGCACCUUACGAGAAAUCAAAGUGUUUGGGUUCUGGGGGGAGUAUGGUCGCAAGGCUGAAA